rnacentral:rRNA from 3 species
AGACCCGAAACCCGGUGAUCUAGCCAUGGGCAGGUUGAAGGUUGGGUAACACUAACUGGAGGACCGAACCGACUAAUGUUGAAAAAUUAGCGGAUGACCUGUGGCUGGGGGUGAAAGGCCAAUCAAACCGGGAGAUAGCUGGUUCUCCCCGAAAGCUAUUUAGGUAGCGCCUCGUGAAUUCAUCUCCGGGGGUAGAGCACUGUUUCGGCUAGGGGGCCAUCCCGGCUUACCAACCCGAUGCAAACUGCGAAUACCGGAGAAUGUUAUCACGGGAGACACACGGCGGGUGCUAACGUCCGUCGUGAAGAGGGAAACAACCCAGACCGCCAGCUAAGGUCCCAAAGUCAUGGUUAAGUGGGAAACGAUGUGGGAAGGCCCAGACAGCCAGGAUGUUGGCUUAGAAGCAGCCAUCAUUUAAAGAAAGCGUAAUAGCUCACUGGUCGAGUCGGCCUGCGCGGAAGAUGUAACGGGGCUAAACCAUGCACCGAAGCUGCGGCAGCGACACUGUGUGUUGUUGG